rnacentral:rRNA from 1 species
GUAACUUCGGAAGAAGGUGUGCCUUUAGUAGGUGAUCCUGUACGAAGGGGACGCCCAAGUGAGGCCGCAGAGAAGUCGGUGGCUGCGACUGUUUAAUUAAAACACAGCACUCUGACAAAGACGAAAGUCGACGUAUAGGGUGUGACGCCUGCCCGGUGCUGGAAGAUUAAAUGAUGGGGUGCAAGCUCUUGAUUGAAGUCCCAGUAAACGGCGGCCGUAACAAUAACGGUCCUAAGGUAGCGAAAUUCCUUGUCGGGUAAGUUCCGACCUGCACGAAUGGCGUAACGAUGGCCACACUGUCUCCUCCAGAGACUCAGCGAAGUUGAAAUGUUUGUGAUGAUGCAAUCUCCCCGCGGAAAGACGGAAAGACCCCAUGAACCUUUACUGUAGCUUUACAUUGGACUUUGAACAGAUCUGUGUAGGAUAGGUGGGAGGC